rnacentral:lncRNA from 10 species
CUUGGAGCCCAGGGCAGGGUUCACAGAGCUAUUUUCAGUUCUCUUGCAGGAUCUCCUUCCCAGCCUUCAGAAAUUGCCGGUCUGGGAGUUGGGGGCAAGGAGAAGAUCCUGAAUUAGACCUUUACGAGAAGCACAGUUUUGUCUUCAGUUUCCUCUCCCCCCACCCGGAAUGGCCUGAGCCGAAGCCAGCUCCCUCCGAGAAGUCAUUACCGCCUGACUUGCGUUUGAUAUUUAGACACCUUGGUCACAACAUCUUGCAUUCUCUCGGGAUGCUGAUUUCUAACUGCUCUUUGGCCUUUCCUGCAUUGGUCCUCCUCAGGCAGGGGAUCCCUGCUCUUCUAUAUUAGUGAGAAAACCAAGGCUCAGAGAAACUGUGGAUUUUCUAAGGUUUCUUGAGGGCAGAGAGCAUGUUGCAGUCACCUCUGAACCUCCUUCUGCUGAAAGCAACCUACACAUGCUGGCUCCCCGUCCCCUGUCCACCAUGAGUCAAAGCAAUGUGAGUCCCUCACCAGAUGCAACUGCCCAGUCUUGGACUUUCCAGUGACCAGAAUCAUGAGCCAAAUAAACCUCUUUUCUUUAUGAAUUACCCAGCCUCAAGUAUUCUGUUAUAGCAAAACAAAACAGACAAAGACAGUUUACCUACUUACUUACUAACUCAGGAAAUAUUUUUGAGCAUCUAUUAUGUGGAUUACACCACAAAAGGAUGAACAAUGCAGACAUCAUCUUUGCUGUAAAAGAGCUCAUGGGCCAGCAGUCAAGAUAGAUAUUGAACAAGUGAAAGUCUGGUUAGAUGCACAACUUAAUGUCUGAUGGGAAACAUUCCCCCUAAGGCAAAAACGCCCCUAAGAUGUAUUCUGGAGAAUUGGGACCAAUUUGACCCUCAGAUGCUAAGAAACGACUUAUAUUCUUCUGCAGUACCGCCUGGUCAGAUAUCCGCUUCAAGGG